GGCGGCAGGCCUAACACAUGCAAGUCGAACGGCAGCACAGGAGAGCUUGCUCUCUGGGUGGCGAGUGGCGGACGGGUGAGGAAUACAUCGGAAUCUACCUUUUCGUGGGGGAUAACGUAGGGAAACUUACGCUAAUACCGCAUACGACCUUAGGGUGAAAGCGGAGGACCUUCGGGCUUCGCGCGGAUAGAUGAGCCGAUGUCGGAUUAGCUAGUUGGCGGGGUAAAGGCCCACCAAGGCGACGAUCCGUAGCUGGUCUGAGAGGAUGAUCAGCCACACUGGAACUGAGACACGGUCCAGACUCCUACGGGAGGCAGCAGUGGGGAAUAUUGGACAAUGGGCGCAAGCCUGAUCCAGCCAUGCCGCGUGGGUGAAGAAGGCCUUCGGGUUGUAAAGCCCUUUUGUUGGGAAAGAAAAGCAGUCGGUUAAUACCCGAUUGUUCUGACGGUACCCAAAGAAUAAGCACCGGCUAACUUCGUGCCAGCAGCCGCGGUAAUACGAAGGGUGCAAGCGUUACUCGGAAUUACUGGGCGUAAAGCGUGCGUAGGUGGUUGUUUAAGUCCGUUGUGAAAGCCCUGGGCUCAACCUGGGAAUUGCAGUGGAUACUGGGCAACUAGAGUGUGGUAGAGGAUGGCGGAAUUCCCGGUGUAGCAGUGAAAUGCGUAGAGAUCGGGAGGAACAUCUGUGGCGAAGGCGGCCAUCUGGACCAACACUGACACUGAGGCACGAAAGCGUGGGGAGCAAACAGGAUUAGAUACCCG
rnacentral:rRNA from 1 species